rnacentral:lncRNA from 1 species
ACAGACAAACAUCGAUGACGAAAGGGGAUCAACAAGACAUGAACACAUAUAACCAUUAAACAUAUAACAGUGGGAUGAAACACGGCUAUAUGGCUGAAUAUAAAUGUUUCACAACACAAACUCACACACAAAUUUUUGUAUCACAAGUACUUGAGUAAACACAUAAACUUGAAACUGGAACAAAUUCACAAGGUUAGAUAGACAUAUAUGGUGACUCACAGACUACAAAUACACAACAAGAACACUUCAACUAGUGAGAACGCACAAUAUGUAAUACAAUAUUUAUAAGCAUGAAACUGAAUCAUUCACGGAUUGCAAGCAUUCAUAGAAUCUGAACAUUACAGGGCAUUACACAUCUCCUAUUACAGAAAUUCAGAGAGAGAGAGAGAGAGAGAGANNNNNNNNNNNNNNNNNNNNNNNNNNNNNNNNNNNNNNNNNNNNNNNNNNNNNNNNNNNNNNNNNNNNNNNNNNNNNNNNNNNNNNNNNNNNNNNNNNNNNNNNNNNNNNNNNNNNNNNNNNNNNNNNNNNNNNNNNNNNNNNNNNNNNNNNNNNNNNNNNNNNNNNNNNNNNNNNNNNNNNNNNNNNNNNNNNNNNNNNNNNNNNNNNNNNNNNNNNNNNNNNNNNNNNNNNNNNNNNNNNNNNNNNNNNNNNNNNNNNNNNNNNNNNNNNNNNNNNNNNNNNNNNNNNNNNNGUGGGUUCAGAGAAGGGGGAAGCAACGAGCAGCAGAGGGAGAUAGGCAAGGGAGCAGCGGCAGGAAGAUUAGAGAAGAACAACAGCAAAAGGGAUGAGGGGAGGAGCAGCAGCAGUUGGGAAGAGGCAAGGGAAGGAGGAGGAGCAGCUGUAGCGUAGGAGAAGAAGCAGCAGAGCGCAGUAGCAGCAGUAGGUUCAGAGGAGAGGGAGCAGCAGCAGUUCGGUUCAGAGAGAAGCAGAGGAAGUAGAGAUAGGAGAGCAACAGCAGGAAGGGAAAGGGAUCAGCAGAGACGUGGAGAAAGGGAGUAGCAGCAGGAAGGGAAAUGGGAAGAGAAGAGCAGCAAUGAGGGAAGGAGAAGAGCAGAAGGAGGGGCGUGGGAGAAGAAGCAGCAGCAGCCAGAGAGAAGUGGCGCGAGGGAGGAGCAGCAACAGGUGGAAGAGAGAAGAAGCAGCAGGGGCGGCAGCGGAGAGGAGCGCUCACGCGGAGGACCAGACACCCGUCUGAUCGGGCGCGCGAGGUGCGGCACUGGUGGAGUGACGGAUGGAUGAAUGGUGCGGUGAUGCUGGUGGACGGAUGAUGGAGUGGUGGCUGGAUGGAUGGCGCAGGUUGUGGAAAGGUCGUGUGAUGGUGGUGCUGGUGGAUGGAUGGGCUGCAGAGGCGCACCACCACGCCGGCCUGGCUGUGGCGGCGGCCGGUGGUGGAGAAGAAGGGGAGAGGGAGAGAGAUGAGAUGCCAGGCCCGAGGGGAAAAUGGAGGCUUGGCUAGGGAUUUUGACCCUCUCCUCAGAUCUGCACUUUUGCACUUCGGCCCUUCUACUUCUUUGCCUACUUCACAAGUUGAUCCCUCCACUCUUUCUUUCUUGCCCUUGAAGCUUUAAUAUUCAUCACACUCAAGUCCCUCUUCCUUCUCUUCUUUCAUAUGCUCAUCUCGAUUGCCACAUGCACAGAAACUUGUAGUUUAUAGUGCCUUUGCGCACAUUUCUGCAAGAUAGACCAAAGACUAGUAAAUAUCCUGUUUGAUGAUUAUCAAGCAAUAUUCAAUCAAUCAUGGCAAGAAUGGACGAAUAUGUCAUGAUAGAUGCUAUAUUUGAGUACCAAAAUUAUAUAUGUGAAAUAUACUUAUCAAGUUCCCCCACACUUAAACUUUUGCUUGUCCUCAAGCAAAGGCGUAUGACAAGAGCAAGAAUGUGAACAGUGAGCUGACUAGAGAAUACCAAGUGAAGAAGAUCUCAAAACAGUGCAUGCUUUGGACUUAGCUAGUGGAAAUUAAUGGUUAGGAGUGCUUCAAAGCGGUAGGUUACUAGUAAGCAUGACCAUUUUAAACUUUUACAAUGAUAAAAGAGGAUCAACAAGUUUAAAUGAUGACUGCGCCAAAUGGUUCCUAAUGAGAGCAUGAUCCCAAGAACAAAAUGAACUAGAAUUAAAUCUUGUGAUCAAAUCACUUAUUUACAGAGAUAAAGCAAUGAUUAUAUUAUUAUUAGUCUCACCAUAGGAACAUACCACCGAUCCCGAGAACAUGGUAUACACCUGGCUCGACCAAUUAUUAGUUUUUUUUUGUUUGUCUCCCCAAAGGAACAUACCACCGAUCCCGAGAACAUGGUAUACACCUGGUUCGACAAUUACAUUUUUUUAUUAUUAAUUACUGCCCAAGCUUACCCGAUUUCACAUGCCACCGAUCCUGGGAACAUGACAUGCUACUGUAGGUAGUCAGACUUAUUUAUUCAUUAUUACUUAUCUUAAAUGAAUAACGCAUAAGCACAAAAACAGGAAUCAUCACUUCUCCAUGUCUGGUUCACAUGCUACCGAUCCAGGGAACAUAGCAUGCUAAUCCAUAGUGGUUAGGUGAUUGCUCUCAAUGGGAACACAUUUAGCACAAAUUCAGCAUCUAAACAUGGUGAUCUAGGUGUAUCAAGGUAAAAGCAGAAAAUGAUCAAGUUUUCUAGUGUACUAGGGAUUUGAGCACUCAAAACUAAUAACCUUCACUAAUUUCAGCAAAGCAUGCAUGAUGUACAUCACUAGUUUACAAGGCAUUCAACACUCAGUUCACAUAUUCACAUCAAUCACCAUAUGUCAAAUAAAAUUCAGUGGGGCAACAUUUAAGACAUGGCUUAAGCAACCCAAAUAACAUUUGAUUUCAGCAUGUAUCAAUGGAUGAUAUACUCGGAAUGGGUCAUGAAACAACUCACCGGGCUUUGAUGAUGUAGCACUCGCUCGAUCACCUCACCAACUGCAGCUCCUCUCCUUUGCUUCCUCGUGCAUUGUGACUCCUCUCCUAUUGCUUCCCUAUCCUCAUGCCUGCUCCAGCUUCUCUCUUCAUGUGUGCUCCUUGCUUCUCCUCAUCCCCAUGCCAUAGGUCCACCGGGGUCCCAGGGAAUGUCAUCUCGAACUUGGUCAGCAUGUAGUGGAUCGUGCACAAGCAAGAACCUGAAAGAGCACUCAACGAAAGAGACAAUGCAAGUGGUAGGGAUAAUACCCUCCAAGUCAUCAAUCGAAUAUCCAAUUACAUAAGCAUAGCUAUAAAGCACAUGUUUAGGAUGGUAGAAAUCAACAAGGUCAACACUAACAUGAGGAUGAUAUUUAUCAUUAAGCUCAAGACUAGCAUGGGAGUGAUAUGUUUCAUUAAGCAUAGGACUAGCACGAGGAAAGUAACUAUGAUCAUCACAAAUGAGAGUAAUGCCACUAAAAGGGUAUAUAUCAUCAUAUCCAAGCAAAUGAGUUUUUAAAUCAAUCUUAAGUGAUGGUAUCAUGUAAUGCAAGGUAGUAGCAAAGAAAUCACAAGGCAUCAUGUCAUCAAGAGGAUUGAGUAAACCUGACACGUCACGCUCUGGUAUGACAAUAGGCAAAUGAAUCUCAUGUUCUUCAUCUUCAUCUACAACAGCUUCUUGUACUUCUUCAGUAGUAGAUGAUGAGUCUUCAACUUGAUCACUUGGGAAUUGCAGCUCUUGAUCAUCCUGUUCCUUGUCUUCUAGUUCAUCUUCUUCAAUCUGGGGUCUUUCUUCCUCUGGACUCUUGCUAUCUUGCUCAACUGGAUGUGACGGUGUUGGAACCUCACAUGUAUCAAGGGGAAUCUCGGCAACACUCAGCUCUAGCUGUGAAGAAAUAGUGUUGCUCGCGUUGAUGUUCUUCUCAAUCUUCCUUACUUCUUCCACUAGCUCUUUUCCACUCUUGAUCUUCUUCAUUUCAUCUAGUAUCACCGGCCUAAUUGGAUCAUCUUCAGCACUCCAAGUGAACUCGAGACCAAGCAAUGUGAGCUUGUCUAUAUCCUCAAAGUCAUCUUGUGUGGGCACUUGUGUUGAAGAUGUUGGUUGACCAAAUGAAGGACCAUUUAACUCCAUUGGCAACAUGUCCUGGUGUUGAGGUAUAUGAGUAGGAGCUGAAUAAAUCUGUUGUGGAGCAUAAUUGUGGCUCUCCUCUUCAUACCUAAAUCCCUGCAUUGGAUAACUAGAGGCAAACGAUGAGAUCUCAGGGUUAUUGCUCCUAUAUGACAUAUUCUGGUUUUCAGGCCACCCAUGUGUGUAAUUGUUUUGGUAUGAGCUAGGCUGUGGAGCGAACCUCAUGCCAUAACAAUCGGGAGGGUGAGAGUAACCACGCUGGCAUUCAGCGGGUGAAUGGCCCUGAAAUCCACAAAUAUGGCAUGUAGGAGCAACAUAAGGAUGACCUCUAGAAUAAGGAUCAUAAGAGCUAGGCCUAUCCUCAAAAACUACUUCUCGCUGCCGAGCUAAAUCAUCUAAUCGAUGGGAAAUCUUACCUAUCAGUUCUUGAAUACUUUCCGUGUUGUUUGUAGUGUUGCUCGCAUAAGCCUGAUGAUCUGAAUAGUAAGCCAUAACCGAGAAGAUAGUUCUAACCUACAAAAAGGAAAAGAAAACAAAGAGAAAAUAAACUAGAACAAGGGUUAGGAGUUAGAGAUAUAUCACAAAUAUAUAAAGCACAAAAAGGAAACAAGCUAAACCUAGUCUAAAGCCUCACACAAAUGCUCGACGCUAGUCCCCGGCAACGGCGCCAAAAUGAUCAAUUUGUAAUAUAGCAGGGUUUUUUUAGCCCAAACUACGAAUGUCGUGUUCUCCACAGGGACUAUGCGACGGCAACUAUGCUCGGCUAAAGCUAGGUGACACGAUGUUUGGUGACAAAAACAGAAAAUAAAACCUAACCUAAACAAGGUAGUUCCCGAAGAUCAUCGCCAAAGAAAAUGCAAAAUAAGCAAAGGUACAUUUAGAUUAUACUCUGUCUUUUUGGUAUUUUUAUUAGGCUUGAGUAAUUAAAGCACUAACACAGACAAACAUCGAUGACGAAAGGGGAUCAACAAGACAUGAACACAUAUAACCAUUAAACAUAUAACAGUGGGAUGAAACACGGCUAUAUGGCUGAAUAUAAAUGUUUCACAACACAAACUCACACACAAAAUUUUGUAUCACAAGUACUUAAGUAAACACAUAAACUUGAAACUGGAACAAAUUCACAAGGUUAGAUAGACAUAUAUGGUGACUGACAGACUACAAAUACACAACAAGAACACUUCAACUAGUGAGAACGCACAAUAUGUAAUACAAUAUUUAUAAGCAUGAAACUGAAUCAUUCACGGAUUGCAAGCAUUCAUAGAAUCUGAACAUUACAGGGCAUUACACAUCUCCUAUUACAGAAAUUCAGAGAGAGAGAGAGAGAGAGAGAGAGAGAGAGAGAGAGAGAGAGAGAGAGAGAGAGAGAAGAUUCAGAUUCAGAGAAGUGCAGCAACAAGAUUCGUGGGUUCAGAGAAGGGGGAAGCAACGAGCAGCAGAGGGAGAUAGGCAAGGGAGCAGUGGCAGGAAGAUUAGAGAAGAAUAACAGCAAAAGGGACGAGGGGAGGAGCAGCAGCAGUUGGGAAGAGGCAAGGGAAGGAGGAGGAGCAGCUGUAGCGUAGGAGAAGAAGCAGCAGAGCGCAGUAGCAGCAGUAGGUUCAGAGGAGAGGGAGCAGCAGCAGUUCGGUUCAGAGAGAAGCAGAGGAAGUAGAGAUAGGAGAGCAGCAGCAGGAAGGGAAAGGGAGCAGCAGAGACGUGGAGAAAGGGAGUAGCAGCAGGAAGGGAAAGGGGAAGAGAAGAGGAGCAGUGAGGGAAGGAGAAGAGCAGCAGGAGGGGCAUGGGAGAAGAAGCAGCAGCAUCCAGAGAGAAGUGGCGCGAGGGAGGAGCAGCAACAGGUGGAAGAGAGAAGAAGCAGCAGGGGCGGCAGCGGAGAGGAGCGCUCACGCGGAGGACCAGACGCCCGUCUGAUCGGGCGCGCGAGGUGCGGCGCUGGUGGAGUGGCGGAUGGAUGAAUGGUGCGGUGAUGCUGGUGGACGGAUGAUGGAGUGGUGGCUGGAUGGAUGGCGCAGGUUGUGGAGUGGUCGUGUGAUGGUGGUGCUGCUGGAUGGAUGGGCUGCGGAGGCGCACCACCACGCCGGCCUGGCCGUGGCGGCGGCCGGUGGUGGACAAGAAGGGGAGAGGGAGAGAGAUGAGAUGCCAUGCCCGACGGGAAAAUGGAGGCUGCGCUAGGGAUUUUGACCCUCUCCUCAGAUCUGCACUUUUGCACUUCGGCCCUUCUAUUUCUCUGCCUACUUCACAAGUUGAUCCCUCCACUCUUUCUUUCUUGCCCUUGAAGCUUUAAUAUUCAUCACACUCAAGUCCCU